rnacentral:rRNA from 1 species
CCUACGGGUGGCUGCAGUGAGGAAUAUUGGUCAAUGGCCGGAAGGCUGAACCAGCCAAGCCGCGUGAGGGAGGAAGGCGCGGAGCGUCGCAGACCUCUUUUGCCGGGGGACACAAGGCCGGACUCGUUCGGACCUGAGGGUACCCGGAGAAAAAGCAUCGGCUAACUCCGUGCCAGCAGCCGCGGUAAUACGGGGGAUGCGAGCGUUAUCCGGAUUCAUUGGGUUUAAAGGGUGCGCAGGUGGGCCUUAAGGCCGGCGGUGACAUCGGGGGGCUAAACCCUGACGAGCCGUCGAAACUGGGGGCCUUGAGUGCGGGAGAGGCAUGCGGAAUGCGCGGUGUAGCGGUGAAAUGCAUAGAUAUCAGGCAGAACCCCGAUUGCGAAGGCAGCGUGCCGUGCCGCCACUGACGGUGAGGCGCGAAAGCGCGGGGAUCGAACAGGAUUAGAUACCCGGGUAGUC